AAAGAGGUUAUUGCCAAGUGUGCUCUUCGCUCUCCUCCUCUAUCUAUCCUGCAUUUAGCAGAGAGCCUAACCUUCACUCAGCCGCUGUGCGUUGGCUGGCAGGCUUCAUUGUGAUAAAACAUUUCAGGAACUGAUGUCAACAAGUUUUUCUUCAGAAUGUGUUUGAAUGCUACAACCAAGGUCACGUGGCAGCUUUCUAUACAAGACACGCACGUAAGAAGACAUGCCACACAUUGCCUCGGUGCUCUUGUGUGAGUCUCUGGACAUGGGCUGUUACGUGUGGUAAGAUUUUAACUUCAGAAAUUACCCUGGUGAGGACGUCAUUGUAACGUCGACAAAAUUAUUCAAAAUACAUCCAUCCAUUUUAAUCCGCCUAUCCGGAGCCAGGUCGCAGAGGCAGCAGGUCAAGCAAAGCACCUCAGACGUCCUUCUCCUCAGCAACGCUUUCCAGCUCCUCCUGGUGGACCCCAAAACGUUCCCAGGCCAGAUGAGAUAUGUAAUCCCUCCAGCGUGUCCUGGGUCUAACCUGGGGCCUCCUACCAGUGGGAUGUGCCUGGAACACUUCUGGCACCCAGGAGGAUCCUGAUCAGAUGCCUGAACCAUCUCAUCUGACCGGCAUCACUGCAGAUGCUGCACCAAUCCGCUGAUCCAUCUUCCACUCCGUUCUACCCUCACUCGUGAACAAGACCCCGAGAUAUUUGAACUCUUUUGCUUGAGGCAGUUACUCUAAGCUUUUUCUGAUUCGACACCUCUGUCAGCAGGGGGUCGUCAUUUCUCAGUGCCUUCCAAAAUUGUUACCGCUCACUUUUGAAAAAUAAAUCUGGUUCAUGGUGUGACAACUCUGUGGUUAAGGUUUGGUUAGAUUUAGGCAUAAAAAAACAACUUUAGGGACACAU